UACGAAGGGGAUUAGCGUUGUUCGGAAUCACUGGGCGUAAAGCGCACGUAGGCGGAUAUGUCAGUCAGGGGUGAAAUCCCGGGGCUCAACCUCGGAACUGCCUUUGAUACAGCAUAUCUUGAGUCCGAUAGAGGUGGGUGGAAUUCCUAGUGUAGAGGUGAAAUUCGUAGAUAUUAGGAAGAACACCGGUGGCGAAGGCGGCCCACUGGAUCGGUACUGACGCUGAGGUGCGAAAGCGUGGGGAGCAAACAGG
rnacentral:rRNA from 1 species